rnacentral:rRNA from 1 species
AUGAACGCUAGCGGGAGGCCUAACACAUGCAAGCCGAGCGGUAGAGUUUCUUCGGAAACUUGAGAGCGGCGCACGGGUGCGUAACACGUGUGCAACCUACCUUUAUCUGGGGGAUAGCCUUUCGAAAGGAAGAUUAAUACCCCAUAAUAUAAUGAUUGGCAUCAAUUAUUAUUGAAAACUCCGGUGGAUAGAGAUGGGCACGCGCAAGAUUAGAUAGUUGGUGAGGUAACGGCUCACCAAGUCAAUGAUCUUUAGGGGUCCUGAGAGGGAGAUCCCCCACACUGGUACUGAGACACGGACCAGACUCCUACGGGAGGCAGCAGUGAGGAAUAUUGGACAAUGGGUGGGAGCCUGAUCCAGCCAUCCCGCGUGAAGGAUGACGGUCCUAUGGAUUGUAAACUUCUUUUGUACAGGGAUAAACCUACCCUCGUGAGGGUAGCUGAAGGUACUGUACGAAUAAGCACCGGCUAACUCCGUG